rnacentral:rRNA from 1 species
UACCCGCAGCACAAGUGGUGGUCAUUAUUAUUGGGCCUAAAGCGUCCGUAGCUGGCGUGUUAGAUGCCUGGGUAAAUCGAUGCGCUCAACGCAUCGAAUUCCGAGUAGACCGGCACGCUCGAGACCGGGAGAGGCGUAGGGUACUCGGGGGGUAGGGGUAAAAUCCUGUAAUCCUCCGGGGACGACCAGUGGCGAAGGCGCUACGCUAGAACGGCUCUGACAGUGAGGGACGAAGCCCUGGGGCGCAAACCGG